UACACAAGUGCGACAUGACAGGCACACGGUGGUCUAGAUGUUUCCCAGCGACCCAGAUAGGAAUGAUGACAAUAAUUGAAUUCUACCUCGGUGAUGAAGCAAAUGUCAUUACUUUUACUGCCGGAUUAUUUUGGUCCCUUUAAAGUCUUUUCUAAUCUUUUAUAGAGUACUCUGGCGUGGAAGCAUAUCUCCCUCUAGUGGUUACAAUGCGUGAUGUGGUGCCUCAGGGCCCAGUGAUCUUCUUGCUUAUACAGGAAGCCCGUUUUCAAGUGAGAUCUGUUUAGAAGCGAUUCAUGUCCUCGGUCAUUAACGUAAUGGAAGAAUGCCCCACUGUGAAGACCUACAAAGGCAGUCCGUUGAGGCCGCAAACACGGAGCAGAGGAUAUAUCUCUCACAGAUGUUCCCCGACAAUGAAUUCAGCAAUACGCAGGUGGCUUACGAAUGCUCCCCUAAAGCUCCUUUUCAGUUAAGCACUCCAUAUAUCCUGAUGCAAUUAUGAGCCGAUAACAAACAUCUUAAUAAUUGCACUCUGAAGAUGAAUCUUUUCUCAUGUUAGUAUACCUAAGUAUUUAAUUCACUGUAUUAUCAACUGUAUAAUACUGUAUAGUUCCUGUUUUUUAAAUGAAUUGUUUGAGAGUGCUGAUAUUCAGCACUGGGAUUUGCUAACAUUCCAGUCAAGUUGUGAAACGUUAUUUAU